rnacentral:tRNA from 1 species
UAUAUUUUAUAUAUUUAAUAUGACAGAUUAGUGUGGUGAAUUUAAGAUUCAUUUAUAUAGAUAUUUAUCUAUUAUUAAAA